ACGAACCAGCAAACAAAAGAAAGGGUUCUCACCUUGUUUCCUCAAUUCAACAACGUUUUCUUUUUGGAAUUUUAAGAAGUGUUCGGUUCUUGCUCAAAAACAAAAUAUAGAAGGUGAAGAGGAGCAAAAAUUGUUUUGGCAAGCUCAAGUAAUUUAUAAGUUCAUCAAGUAAGACCUGCGAGCUCGAGAAGUAGACGUUGGACAUUAGAUAGAGUUCAAGGUAGACAGGGAGGUGAGCUUGGUUCAGAUUCUUAGUAGCUGUCAGCUGAUUGAGAGCACUCCAUUGUUCGGAGGUGCUUAUGUUUAUUCCUUUGGUUCCUUUAUGUAUUUCGCGCACGACGGAGUCUUGUUCCAUCUAUAUGUAUAAUAUGUCAGUAGAGGCUCAUAGACGCGCAGUGUGGGUUAGAUGGUCUCACAAGAUUACUAUGUUAUAUUUGUAUAUGUUAUUUUGAUAGCCUAAGGGGCACGUGUAUAUAAAAUUAUUUGUGUUUUCAAACGAAAAAUGGUUGUCUUAUGAUUAUGAGAUUAUGAAUGAUAAAGAAAUGUAAAAUGGUUAUGACGAGUGAGGAAACGAGCGGUGCUCGGUGGUUA